UUCGUUACUUUUAGCAUAAACAAUUAAAUAAAGUUAAUGUCCGAGCCGUGGCUGAUAGGAGCUGCAGUACAGGCAUUAACAAGUACAGUCGAUCCCUUGAGCCACCGCCUUACGUGUUAAUUUAGCUUGGACGCGUAGUACAAGGAAAGUUACUAAGGAAUUCGAGCGACUAUGGAAAUAACUGUCAGAGACCUGUAUUCUCCUCUGGCAGUUAUCGUUAUUGGCUCGUAGUUCUAGUUCUCUGGCAGUUAUCGGGCUACCAUCACAGGUAACAUGGAAGCUGGUAACGGAAUAACUGUGUGUCUAGACGUUCCUGACUCGGUGACUCCAGUUAAAGGUCGUAGUUCCAGGUGAUAUUUCCAGAGAGGAUAGCAACUGGAGCGAACAAAUAUUUUCGUACUGCUACGGAAACGACGGUGGGCCAUCGGGGAGAGGGGAUGGCAAAUAACGGGAAUCUAUCGUCUCAUUUCUCUGCAAUUCUUGGUGUUCCGGAACAUUUUUCCAGCCUUUGGUUGCGUUAGAGGGUAUUGACUUUCGUUCCGCGUUCUUGUUUUUCUUUGUGUUGUUGAUAUUACUACCAAUAGUUGCCAACAUGAAGAGGUCGAGGACAAGCGAAAUGUGGUCAUAUUUCGAAACUCUUGAUCGAGAGUUUGCAAAAUGUACUUUGUGCGGUAAGAAAUUAUCGUACAAAUCGACGACGACGAAUUAAAAAAAACAUCUUCAGAAAUCACAUUUAAUUGUGAAUUUCUCUUCACAAAGACCUUCGGAGCUAGAUUUGGGUGAAACCCUUCCUGUAGAUGUGAUCCUUGGCACCAGUAGUGUGGAAGAGGAGCGAGAGGCACACCAACACCAGCAGAUGAGUCUCCGUUUAAUACUUGGGAUAUUAUAACAGUAAGUUAUAGCUCCAGAAGUCAGUCACCAGCAGCAGAUGUCACACAGUUAUAAAAUGGGAAACUUGAAGAAUAAGGUACUAGUGGUUUGGAUACAUGUGUGGGAAAUUUCACCUUUCACUUAAAAUGAAGUUAUGGCUCCGAUAGUCUUCCAGCAGCAGCAAAUGUUACACAGUCCUAUAGAGGCAAACUUGAAGUAUAAAGUAAUAGUGUUUUGCAUACAAUGGCAAACUUGACCUUUCGCUUAAAAUGGAGUAUCGGCUUUGAAAUUUGGUCACUGGAUACAACUAUAUUAUCUUUCAUGUUGAUAGCAGCAAUCAUCAGAUUGCAAUCCAGUUAAGUACCUGUGAGGCAUGAGAUGUCAAAAAUACUUGUGGGUUAUUGGUAGCCUGUGUCAAGGCAUGUGGCACCUCAAAGUUUGUAAGUACAGUAGCAUUUUGUUUUCUGCUUUACUUAAAAAUUGGUAGCUGUAGCACCCAUUCUGACAUUCAAUUAUUUUGAAUUUCAAGUUUCUUAGAAUGAUACUGACAUCAGUUUGUUAACACUAAUCCGUAUAUUAUUGUUAAUAUAUGCUGCUAUUUUCCUCAGAUGUUAACUGAAAUUGUUUUAUUGUUAUGAUAACAACACUUCAGCCUUUGCAAACUUGCAGUAUAGGUUACCUGCUGAGAAAUAUUUACUGGAAGAAAUGGUUUCUUGAAUAGGACCGAAAGGAAAACCACUGAAAAUGCCAAACGUGAAUUGGUGAAACAUCUUGUGCUCAAUACUAAAUUUCAUUUGCAAAACACGGAAGUUUUCCUAUCUUUGUGGUGGAACACAACAAAUUCUCAUAAUUUUGCUAGUUUGUAUUCUAGAAAGGGUGCCAGAAAUGGAAGAGUAUAAUUUUUAUUAAAUCGGGCAUUAAAUGUAAGUAGGUUGGAGUACAGAAAGGGUGCAACUGGCCUUCCCCACUGUAGCCUGAUGUGCUCCAACAUGCAUUUGUACUGAUGUGCAGGUGGUUAUAACACUAGUAUCAAACUGCAUGGUACCCACUUACUAAUGUGACCUACCCUUGCAUGAUCUUCUGCAGACAGCAAGAAAUGCGCUACUGCUCUUACUACCUGUCCAACAGUUGUGGAGGAUUUUUUCCCCUUGGUGCUUGACAUGACAUGUUUUGCCCUCUGCCCUUAAAAUCUCAAUUCUUGUUACAUUUUCUAUCUCCUGAUGGACCUGUAUUGAUUAAAAAACUAAUCACUGCAGAGGUGAUUGUAGAACUUUUGCUAGUGGCAGUGUGGAGGGGCUCCACUCUUUAAAAAAUAAAAUUACAUUGUGGGACAUGGAAUUAUUAUUAGAUGCUUUCAUGGACAUUUUGUUUACUGAAAAAGUCAGUCAUUAUCUGAGGUAUUUAAAUGUUAACUUCAAAUCUAAAACUGCAUCAAAAGAUAAAUUUCAGUAAGUCUUUAACAAGUUUCAGUAUCUUGUUUCACAUGCUGGACCCUCCAACUAUAAAAAACA